CCUCUCAUGGCGUAGGGGUAACGCGCCCUAACUAAAGCAUCAGGGAGUCGUGAGUUCGAUUCUCACUGAGAAGA
rnacentral:tRNA from 1 species